AAACAAUUGGAAAUUGUAACAAUGUAGUUUAUUUUUACAGAAUUAGGAAUAAGAUUCAGUAACUAUAUGAAAGAUGCUAAUCCGGCAACUAGAUUCUGUGGCAAUAAAAUCGAUGACAACCGCAGUUAUUUGAAAAACAUUAUAUAUUAGGAGAUUAACAUUUCAAUAUUUUGGCUGGGUUUAAUAGAAACAUAUUUUCAGCUACCAAGAAUUCACUAUUUUGCAGGCCCAGUCAUUAUUAAUUUAAAUAAUAUAUUAUUAUCAUUAUAUCAAGGAUUUUCCUUACAUGAUUUACAAAAAACAAAAUGCACUUACCUUUAAUGCGGGAGAAAAAAAAAUUCUUUAAUUUUUUUUGUUUUUAAUUCUAAAAGACACAUUUCUUGAAACAAACUGCAUACAUUUUCUACCUGCACAAUUAUAUAUUCUAACACAAUUUAACUCUUUCCCUUUUUUCAUUACUAUUGUUAUUAUUACUAUUUUUAAAUGUAUUUCCUUCAUUAUACAAUUUUAUAUAUGAACGUAAUACGUAUUGAUUAGU